rnacentral:rRNA from 1 species
GGAGAAAAGCAGGGGAUCGCAAGACCUUGCGCUAAAGGAGCGGCCGAUGUCUGAUUAGCUAGUUGGUGGGGUAAAGGCUUACCAAGGCAACGAUCAGUAGUUGGUCUGAGAGGACGGCCAACCACACUGGGACUGAGACACGGCCCAGACUCCUACGGGAGGCAGCAGUGGGGAAUUUUGGACAAUGGGCGAAAGCCUGAUCCAGCCAUGCCGCGUGAGUGAAGAAGGCCUUCGGGUUGUAAAGCUCUUUUAGUCGGAAAGAAAGAGUUGCAAUGAAUAAUUGUGAUUUAUGACGGUACCGACAGAAAAAGCACCGGCUAACUACGUGCCAGCAGCCGCGGUAAUACGUAGGGUGCGAGCGUUAAUCGGAAUUACUGGGCGUAAAGGGUGCGCAGGCGGUCUGCAAGUCAGAUGGAAAGCCCCGGGCUUAACCUGGGAAUUGCGUUUGAAACUACAAGAGCUAG